rnacentral:rRNA from 1 species
GAUGAACGCUGGCGGCGUGCUUAAUACAUGCAAGUCGAGCGAACGGACGAGAAGCUUGCUUCUCUGAUGUUAGCGGCGGACGGGUGAGUAACACGUGGAUAACCUACCUAUAAGACUGGGAUAACUUCGGGAAACCGGAGCUAAUACCGGAUAAUAUUUUGAACCGCAUGGUUCAAAAGUGAAAGACGGUCUUGCUGUCACUUAUAGAUGGAUCCGCGCUGCAUUAGCUAGUUGGUAAGGUAACGGCUUACCAAGGCAACGAUGCAUAGCCGACCUGAGAGGGUGAUCGGCCACACUGGAACUGAGACACGGUCCAGACUCCUACGGGAGGCAGCAGUAGGGAAUCUUCCGCAAUGGGCGAAAGCCUGACGGAGCAACGCCGCGUGAGUGAUGAGGGUCUUCGGAUCGUAAAACUCUGUUAUUAGGGAAGAACAUAUGUGUAAGUAACUGUGCACAUCUUGACGGUACCUAAUCAGAAAGCCACGGCUAACUACGUG